UACGAAGGGGGCUAGCGUUGCUCGGAAUUACUGGGCGUAAAGGGCGCGUAGGCGGAUGUCUAAGUUGGGGGUGAAAUCCCGAGGCUCAACCUCGGAACUGCCUUCGAUACUGGCGAUCUUUGAGUCCGGGAGAGGUGAGUGGAACUCCGAGUGUAGAGGUGAAAUUCGUAGAUAUUCGGAAGAACACCAGUGGCGAAGGCGGCUCACUGGCCCGGUACUGACGCUCAGGUGCGAAAGCGUGGGGAGCAAACAGG
rnacentral:rRNA from 1 species